rnacentral:rRNA from 1 species
AUGAUCAUAAGGGGUUGGGCGCCACAAGUGAUGAUCCUGUGGCACCAAGCCAUUGGAGGAUUUGUGAUGCACUGUGGGUGGAACUCAACAAUAGAGGGUAUUUGUGCAUGUGUGCCCAUGAUCACAUGGCCGCACUUUGUGAAGGUGUUUGUGAAUGAGAAGUUGGUGGUAGAUGUGCUGAAAAUCGGGGUGGAUGUUGGAGUGCAAGGAGUUAUACAGUGGGGAAGUGAAAACAAAGAAGUUAUGGUUAUAAGAGAUGCCAUGGAGACUGCAGUGAACACCCUAAUGGAUGAGGGGGAGGUUGCAAAGGAGUUAAGGGUGAGAGCAAAACACUACGCCAUUAUGGCAAGGAGGGCUUUCAAUGAGGAAGGUUCUUCGUAUAACAACACAAGGCUAUUGAUUCAAGAAAUGGGAAACAAG